UAUGUAUUGCACCGUGUGAGUGUUUGGUGUCUUUGGAGGUCAGAAGAGUCCUCUGCAAGAGCAAUGAGUGCUCUUAACCACUGACUCAUCUCUUAGCCCCAAGGGAUCUUCCUUGACAAGCUUCGGGUCCAGUGGUUGGCUCAGCAGCAUCUGAAAGUGCCUGAUACACAAGCCUGACAACCGAUGUUGGCCCUCAGAAUCUACAGGAAAGAGAGAGCAAGCCUGACAACCGAUGUUGGCCCUCAGAAUCUACAGGAGAGCCUGCAGGAACCUGGAAGUCCCACAUCUUUAUUGAUUGAUCAAGAACCAAUUGGUGACAAGGACCUUCAGCAUCAGUACCUGAAGAUUCCUGAAAAACUAAAGCAUCAGAACACAAUCCUAUUUCACAAAAGGAAAAUUUAGCAAAUUGAGUUACUAAUGUCUGUAUUUUUAUUUUAGUUACAUUCUUAUCUCAGUAGCAAGAUGAUGGAAAUAUCAACAAAGUAUCCUUUACAAAGUGACUCAGACAAAUAUCUCCGAGGGGCCUUCCUUUCCCAGGUUAUUCAACAGUAUUCUGUCUAGCCCCAUCUUUAUUGCUAUACUAUAAAAAUACCCACUUCCAAGGCUCAAGGAAAAUGUGGUCAUUUCAUUACACAGCACUUGAGCAGUGCUGUGUAAUGAAAUGACCUUCAGUCUUCCACCAUAAAACGACCCAUUGCCAGAUGUCAAUGCCUUGACAGUCUUUAGAAUUGUGUGUGUGGGAGUGUGAUGGUUUGUAUAUGUUUAGCCCAGGGCGUGGCACUAUUAGAAGGUGUGGCCCUGUUGAAGCAGGUGUGUUACUAUGGGUGUGGGCUAUAAGACCCU
rnacentral:lncRNA from 1 species